rnacentral:rRNA from 1 species
UACGGAGGAUGCAAGCGUUAUCCGGAAUGAUUGGGCUUAAAGCGUCCGCAGGUGGCACUUCAAGUCUGCUGUUAAAUACUAGGGCUCAACACUGGAGCGGCAGUGGAAACUGAGGAGCUUGAGUUCGGUAGGGGUAGAGGGAAUUCCCAGUGUAGCGGUGAAAUGCGUAGAGAUGGGGAAGAACACCGGUGGCGAAAGCGCUCUGCUAGGCUGAAACUGACACUCAUGGACGAAAGCGAGGGGAGCGAAUGGG